GACAGAGGUGCCGAGCGUUAGGCGGAAUCACUGGGCUUAAAGCGUGUGUAGGCGGAUUUGUAAGUACCUUGUGAAAUCCCAUGGCUCAACCAUGGAACUGCUCGGUAUACUGCGAAUCUUGAGCCACUUAGGGGCGACCGGAACAAAUGGUGGAGCGGUGAAAUGCGUAGAUAUCAUUUGGAACGCCAAUGGUGAAAACAGGUCGCUGGGAGUGUGCUGACGCUGAGACACGAAAGCCAGGGGAGCGAACGGG
rnacentral:rRNA from 1 species